rnacentral:misc_RNA from 1 species
GAAAUGCGAUAAGUAAUGUGAAUUGCAGAAUUCAGUGAAUCAUCGAAUCUUUGAACGCACCUUGCGCUCCUUGGUAUUCCUUGGAGCAUGCCUGUUUGAGUAUCAUGAAAUCUUCAAAGUAAAUCUUUUGUUAACUCAAUUGGUUUCUACUUUGGUAUUGGAGGUCUUUGCAGCUUCACACCUGCUCCUCUUUGUUCAUUAGCUGGAUCUCAGUGUUAUGCUUGGUUCCACUCGGCGUGAUAAGUUAUCUAUCGCUGAGGACACUGUAAAAGGUGGCCAAGGUAAAUGCAGAUGAACCGCUUCUAAUAGUCCAUUGACUUGGACAAUACUUUUAUGAUCUGAUCUCAAAUCAGGUAGGACUACCCGCUGAACUCAAGC